rnacentral:rRNA from 1 species
UACGGGGGGUGCGAGCGUUGUCCGGAAUCACUGGGCGUAAAGGGCGCGUAGGUGGUUUGAUAAGGGUGUGGUGAAAGUCCGGGGCUCAACCCCGGAUCUGCCGUGCCGACUGUCAAACUCGAGGACUGUAGAGGCAGACGGAAUUCCGGGUGUAGUGGUGAAAUGCGUAGAGAUCCGGAGGAACACCAGUGGCGAAGGCGACACGCUGGGUCACACCUGACGCUAAAGCGCGACAGCAUGGGGAGCGAACGGG